rnacentral:rRNA from 1 species
UGGGGAAUAUUGGGCAAUGGGCGCAAGCCUGACCCAGCCAUGCCGCGUGGGUGAAGAAGGUCUUAGGAUUGUAAAGCCCUUUCACCGGGGAAGAUGAUGACAUUACCCGGAGAAGAAGCGCCGACUAACUCCGUGCCAGCAGCCGCGGUAAGACGGAGGGCGCUAGCGUUGUUCGGAAUCACUGGGCGUAAAGGGCGCGUAGGCGGCUGUUUAAGUCGAGGGUGAAAGCCCGGGGCUCAACCCCGGAACGGCCUUCGAGACUGGGCAGCUCGAGACCGGAAGAGGAGGGUGGAAUACCCAGUGUAGAGGUGAAAUUCGUAGAUAUUGGGUGGAACACCAGUGGCGAAAGCGGCUCUCUGGUCCGGAUCUGACGCUGAGGCGCGAAAGCGUGGGGAGCAAACAGGAUUAGAUACCCGUGUAGUCC